UACGGAGGGGGCUAGCGUUGUUCGGAAUUACUGGGCGUAAAGCGCACGUAGGCGGCUUUGUAAGUCAGAGGUGAAAGCCCGGAGCUUAACUCCGGAAUUGCCUUUAAAACUGCAUCGCUUGAAUCCAGGAGAGGUGAGUGGAAUUCCGAGUGUAGAGGUGAAAUUCGUAGAUAUUCGGAAGAACACCAGUGGCGAAGGCGGCUCACUGGACUGGUAUUGACGCUGAGGUGCGAAAGCGUGGGGAGCAAACAGG
rnacentral:rRNA from 1 species